ensembl:lncRNA
GCUGCGUUCGUUGUCUUCUGUCUUCCGGUUUGCAUUUCCACAGCAUGAAGUGUUUGUGAGCAGUAACAUACAGGAUGGCCUGCCAAGGAGAGGAACCAAUGACUAUGUGAACAAGAGGCCCAUCAGAAAGGUCAGAUGAGAAAUCAUUAAGUUUAUUUUGUGAGGUCACCCUGCACUUACACAUCUGCUGAAGUUACUCUCAAAGUCAUGGACGAUGGACCUUCAACUGCUUCAAUGUUUGCCUUUAAAUUACAAUCACUGCUUAUCUGUUUCCUGUAAAUCUAGCCAUUGUUUAAGUCUGCCUCCCUUCCACUAAAGUUCAGAUAAACUGCAUUAAGGAAAGUCAUAGCUUGUACAAAAAGAGGUAGCAUCUGGUGUACUUUUUGUGAAACAGAGGUACAAAAAAAAACAUUUUCCUUUGAGGAUAUGUGGAAAUUCGAAUAAAUACCGACAUGGAUUGAAUAAAUCAACCACAAGAAGUCUAAUAAUUAAUGAAUAUUAGUGCACCUGGAAACCAUUAUAAGAGUUAAAGCAAUGUUGUG